rnacentral:rRNA from 1 species
AUGAACGCUGACAGAAUGCUUAACACGUGCAAGUCAACUUGAAUUUGGGUUUUUAACUUAGAUUUGGGUGGCGGACGGGUGAGUAACGCGUAAAGAACUUGCCUCACAGUUAGGGACAACAUUUAGAAAUGAAUGCUAAUACCUGAUAUUAUGAUUUUAAGGCAUCUUAGAAUUAUGAAAGCUAUAAGCACUGUGAGAGAGCUUUGCGUCCCAUUAGCUAGUUGGAGAGGUAACAGCUCACCAAGGCUAUGAUGGGUACCCGGCCUGAGUGGGUGAACGGCCACAAGGGGACUGAGACACGGCCCUUACUCCUACGGGAUGCAGCAGUGGGGAAUAUUGGACAAUGGACCGAUAGUCUGAUCCAGCAUUUCUGUGUUCACUAUGUGGUUUUUCUGAAUUUGAAUUGCUUUCCUUUGGGAAUAAUUGUGACGGGUGCACAUAGGGUGGGGCAGCGAAUCGUGCCGCAUGGGCGGGUUUAAGUGGUUUGUGAUGGUGAUCUGAGGGAUGGUGGUGAAAGUGCGUUCGGGUGGUUGUGGAGGCUGAUGGGAUAUUGAUGGGUGCAUGCUUGAUUGUGGUGGAAUGGUUAUUGUAUGGUGCUGUUAAUGUUAUCUGAAAUGUAGUGGAGUGUGUGAAUUCGUAGAGAUGUGUAUGAUGCUGUGUUGGGGAUCGGCUGCUUGACUGAGGUGGUGGUGUUGGUUGUGAGGUGUGUGAUGUGAUUGUGAUGAUGUGAUGGUGAGGCGUAUGGGAUGUGUCUGUUAUGUGUUGUUGUGUUUAUGCUUUUAAUUAUGUGGUGGCUGUGGAAAAAAACUGUGUGUUUGUUUUGUGUAAACUGUCUGUGUGUGUGUCCUGCCCCCCCCGCUGUGCUGUGUGUGUGUGUGCUGCCUGAUGAGUG